GUGGAUUAGAUACCCUGGUAGUCCACGCCGUAAACGAUGAUAACUAGCUGUCCGGGUUCAUAGAACUUGGGUGGCGCAGCUAACGCAUUAAGUUAUCCGCCUGGGGAGUACGGUCGCAAGAUUAAAACUCAAAGGAAUUGACGGGGGCCUGCACAAGCGGUGGAGCAUGUGGUUUAAUUCGAAGCAACGCGCAGAACCUUACCAGCGUUUGACAUCCUGAUCGCGGAUUAGAGAGAUCUUUUCCUUCAGUUCGGCUGGAUCAGUGACAGGUGCUGCACGGCCGUCGACAGCU
rnacentral:rRNA from 1 species